ensembl:lncRNA
AUGCUUACUGACACGCUAUAUACAGGGGGUACCGGCACAGAGUCAAUGUGGAGGCUAUAUACAGGGGGUACCGGCACAGAGUCAAUGUGGAGGCUAUAUACAGGGGGUACCGGCACAGAGUCAAUGUGGAGGCUAUAUACAGGGGGUACCGGCACAGAGUCAAUGUGGAGGCUAUAUACAGGGGGUACCGGCACAGAGUCAAUGUGGAGGCUAUAUACAGGGGGUACCGGUACAGAGUCAAUGUGGAGGCUAUAUACAGGGGGUACCGAUACAGAGUCAAUGUGGAGGCUAUAUACAGGGGGUACCGGCACAGAGUCAAUGUGGAGGCUAUAUACAGGGGGUACCGGUACAGAGUCAAUGUGGAGGCUAUAUACAGGGGGUACCGGUACAGAGUCAAUGUGGAGGCUAUAUACAGGGGGUACCGGUACAGAGUCAAUGUGGAGGCUAUAUACAGGGGGUACCGGUACAGAGUCAAUGUGGAGGCUAUAUACAGGGGGUACCGGUACAGAGUCAAUGUGGAGGCUAUAUACAGGGGGUACCGGUACAGAGUCAAUGUGGAGGCUAUAUACAGGGGGUACCGGUACAGAGUCAAUGUGGAGGCUAUAUACAGGGGGUACCGGUACAGAGUCAAUGUGGAGGCUAUAUACAGGGGGUACCGGUACAGAGUCAAUGUGGAGGCUAUAUACAGGGGGUACCGGUACAGAGUCAAUGUGGAGGCUAUAUACAGGGGGUACCGGUACAGAGUCAAUGUGGAGGCUAUAUACAGGGGGUACCGGAGACAGGUACGAGUCAAUGUGGAGGCUAUAUACAGGGGGUACCGGUACAGAGUCAAUGUGGAGGCUAUAUACAGGGGGUACCGGUACAGAGUCAAUGUGGAGGCUAUAUACAGGGGGUACCGGUACAGAGUCAAUGUGGAGGCUAUAUACAGGGGGUACCGGUACAGAGUCAAUGUGGAGGCUAUAUACAGGGGAUACCGGUACAGAGUCAAUGUGGAGGCUAUAUACAGGGGGUACCGGUACAGAGUCAAUGUGGAGGCUAUAUACAGGGGGUACCGGUACAGAGUCAAUGUGGAGGCUAUAUACAGGGGGUACCGGUACAGAGUCAAUGUGGAGGCUAUAUACAGGGGGUACCGGUACAGAGUCAAUGUGGAGGCUAUAUACAGGGGGGUACCGGUACAGAGUCAAUGUGGAGGCUAUAUACAGGGGGUACCGGUACAGAGUCAAUGUGGAGGCUAUACAGGGGGUACCGGUACAGAGUCAAUGUGGAGGCUAUAUACAGGGGGUACCGGUACAGAGUCAAUGUGGAGGCUAUAUACAGGGGGUACCGGUACAGAGUCAAUGUGGAGGCUAUAUACAGGGGGUACCGGUACAAAGUCAAUGUGGAGGCUAUAUACAGGGGGUACCGGUACAGAGUCAAUGUGGAGGCUAUAUACAGGGGGUACCGGUACAAAGUCAAUGUGGAGGCUAUAUACAGGGGGGUACCGGUACAGAGUCAAUGUGGAGGCUAUAUACAGGGGGUACCGGUACAGAGUCAAUGUGGAGGCUAUAUACAGGGGGUACCGGUACAUUGUCAAUAUGGAGGCUAUAUACAGGGGGUACCGGUACAGAGUCAACGUUGAGGCUAUAUACAGGGGGUACCGGUACAGAGUCAACGUGUCAAGGUAAUUGA